CAUCACCAACGAGCUAUUGGCCCAAUACUAAAUCUCCGUGGAGGUGAUAGGUUCGAGGCACGUUGGGAGG